rnacentral:rRNA from 1 species
AACGGGUGANUANCGCAUCGGAACGUGCCCAGUAGUGGGGGAUAGCUCGGCGAAAGCCGGAUUAAUACCGCAUUACGACCCAUGGGUGAAAGCGGGGGGACCGCAAGGCCUCGCGCUAUUGGAGCGGCCNAUGCCCGAUUAGCUAGUUGGUGAGGUAAAGGCUCACCAAGGCAACNAUCGGUAGCUGGUCUGAGAGGACAACCAGCCACACUGGGACUGAGACACGGCCCAAACUCCUACGGGAGGCAGCAGUGGGGAAUUUUGGACAAU